rnacentral:rRNA from 1 species
AGGGAAAGAGCUUGCUCUUUCCGGAAUUGAGUGGCAAACGGGUGAGUAACACGUAAACAACCUGCCUUCAGGAUGGGGACAACAGACGGAAACGACUGCUAAUACCGCAUGAUGUAUCUGGAAGGCAUCUUCCGGAUACCAAAGAUUUAUCGCUGUGGGAUGGGCUCAUGUCUGAUUAGUUAGUUGGUGGGGUAACGGCCUACCAAGUCGACGAUCGGUAGCCGGACUGAGAGGUCGAACGGCCACAUUGGGACUGAGACACGGCCCAGACUCC